UUGAGAGAAAUUUCGCUAGAAAUAGUGGAGUGUCUGGCUUGCCAGACCUUGAAAACAGGUGCUGCACGGCUGUCGUCAGCUCGUGUCGUGAGAUGUUGGGUUAAGUCCCGCAACGAGCGCAACCCCUUUUCUUAGUUGCUAACAGGUUAUGCUGAGAACUCUAAGGAUACUGCCUCCGUAAGGAGGAGGAAGGUGGGGACGACGUCAAGUCAUCAUGGCCCUUACGCCUAGGGCUACACACGUGCUACAAUGGGGUGCACAAAGAGAAGCAAUACUGCGAAGUGGAGCCAAUCUUCAAAACACCUCUCAGUUCGGAUUGUAGGCUGCAACUCGCCUGCAUGAAGCUGGAAUCGCUAGUAAUCGCAAAUCAGCCAUGUUGCGGUGAAUACGUUCCCGGGUCUUGUACUCACCGCCCUCACACCAUGACG
rnacentral:rRNA from 1 species